rnacentral:snRNA from 1 species
AGCUUUGUGCAGUGGCAGUAUUGUAGCCGAUGAGGUUUAUCCGAGGUGUGAUUAUUGCUAAUUAAAAUAUAUAUAGAAAGAACAUACCAAGUAUCUGAUAUUUUUUACUCAAA